AUACGUAGGUGGCGAGCGUUGUCCGGAAUUACUGGGCGUAAAGGAUGCGUAGGUGGAUACUUAAGUGGGAUGUGAAAUCCCCGGGCUCAACCCGGGAACUGCAUUCCAAACUGGGUAUCUAGAGUGCAGGAGAGGAAAGCGGAAUUCCUAGUGUAGCGGUGUAAUGCGUAGAUAUUAGGAGGAACACCAGUGGCGAAGGCGGCUUUCUGGACUGUAACUGACACUGAGGCAUGAAAGCGUGGGUAGCAAACAGGAUUAGUUCCCCUGGUAGUCCACGCCGUAAACGAUGGGUACUAAGUGUAGGAGGUAUCGCCCCCUUCUGUGCCGUCGUUAACACAAUAAGUACCCCGCCUGGGGAGUACGGUCGCAAGACUAAAACUCAAAGGAAUUGACGGG
rnacentral:rRNA from 1 species